rnacentral:rRNA from 1 species
UACGAGGGGGGCAAGCGUUGUUCGGAUUUACUGGGCGUAAAGGGCGCGUAGGCGGCGUGACAAGUCACUUGUGAAAUCUCCGGGCUUAACUCGGAACGGUCAAGUGAUACUGUCGUGCUAGAGUACAGAAGGGGCAACUGGAAUUCUCGGUGUAGCGGUGAAAUGCGUAGAUAUCGAGAGGAACACCUGCGGCGAAGGCGGGUUGCUGGGCUGAUACUGACGCUGAGGCGCGAAAGCCAGGGGAGCGAACGGG